rnacentral:siRNA from 1 species
UUACGGUGGCGGCCUAAGCCCG